UAAGUAAAUGGUUGUUGUUGU
rnacentral:siRNA from 1 species